GAACCGCUGCGGCUAAACUCGUUUCCGUUGCUUCAUUUUCUGACUAUUAACAAAUAAAUAUCUAUUCUGACGUGGCAGAAUUAUUGCAAAAAGCCGGGUCAGUCGUUAACCCGUGUAAACCCGCCACGUACAAGAGUUGUGGGGAUGUAAGCCAAAGCUCGUUGUUCGAAUCGACUCCUGAGUUGGCGGUGAAGGAGAGAAAACAGGUGCAAGAACGUCCGGAGCCUCAAGUGUCAAAAAAAGAAUUCAAGAAAAUUGCUGCAAAGAAAAGACAAGAUGUGAAGCGCAAUAAUAAGAAAGAUUUUAUGACCAAUUUCAUUAGCUUAAAGGGAAGUUUGUCAUCAAUAGAUGGAAAUGAAGAAUUCUUUAAUGAAUGGUUCAACUUUUGCCACAUUCUUUCAUCUGUUGGAAGUUGAUAGCUUAAUAGGAGAUGACAAAGAAUGAAAUAAUGGAGAACUGGGAUCGCGGAUUGAAAUCGACUGACAUUAUAUGGUAGCAUAGUAUGCUAUAGUUUACAUAAACAUUAAAAAGGGGAUAUGUUGUUUGGUUGGCUUGCUUUUGGAAACACUGAAGCGAAAAUAGUAUCCUGGUCAAGAAGUAACCAAGGCUUAUGAAGUUCUGCUGUCCAGUCCUGGACUCCAUUUCCCAAUUCCUGCAUGUUUUGGCUCACACAUACACAUGCAGGCAUGCAGACACUAGUGGGGAAAAAUAAUGGAGCAAGAGGAGAAGUAAAAUAGAUGCAGAGAAUGAAAGUUUAGCGUUUAUUAUUCGACAAGACUUCUGCACAUUUUUUGAGCAAAGUUAAUUAGAAAGUAUCUGUCAUUGUAUUAGUUUGCAGGACUGCCGGUUCUCCAUGAUAUAAUUUUCUGCUCUGUUUUAACUAAAUUCUCUUUUGAUCUAAACAAAUAAUUGUUUUUUAAAGAAGGAUUUAAGACGUUAUCCACCUAACUUAUGUUGCAGCUCAGAAUGUCUUGUGUGGGUCUCUUGUUAUAUAAUUCAGUGCUAACUAUUAUGUAUAAUUCAUAAGGAUUGAUAUUUUCCUCUUUUCUUGAGUUUAA